UGAGGAAUAUUGGACAAUGGGCGCAAGCCUGAUCCAGCCAUGCCGCGUGCAGGAAGAAGCAUCUAUGGUGUGUAAACUGCUUUUGUACGGGAAGAAACACUCCUACGUGUAGGAGCUUGACGGUACCGUAAGAAUAAGGAUCGGCUAACUCCGUGCCAGCAGCCGCGGUGAUACGGAGGAUCCAAGCGUUAUCCGGAAUCAUUGGGUUUAAAGGGUCCGUAGGCGGUUUAGUAAGUCAGUGGUGAAAGCCCAUCGCUCAACGAUGGAACGGCCAUUGAUACUGCUAGAAUUGAAGUAUUAGGAAGUAACUAGAAUAUGUAGUGUAGCGGUGAAAUGCUUAGAUAUUACAUGGAUUACCAAUUGCGAAGGCAGGUUACUACUAAUGGAAUGAAGCUGAUGGACGGAAGCGUGGGGAGCGAACA
rnacentral:rRNA from 1 species